rnacentral:rRNA from 1 species
AGUGAACGCUGGCGGUAGGCCUAACACAUGCAGGUCGAACGGCAGCACAGUAAGAGCUUGCUCUUACGGGUGGCGAGUGGCGGACGGGUGAGGAAUACAUCGGAAUCUACUUUUUCGUGGGGGAUAACGUAGGGAAACUUACGCUAAUACCGCAUACGACCUACGGGUGAAAGCAGGGGAUCUUCGGACCUUGCGCGAUUGAAUGAGCCGAUGUCGGAUUAGCUAGUUGGCGGGGUAAAGGCCCACCAAGGCGACGAUCCGUAGCUGGUCUGAGAGGAUGAUCAGCCACACUGGAACUGAGACACGGUCCAGACUCCUACGGGAGGCAGCAGUGGGGAAUAUUGGACAAUGGGCGCAAGCCUGAUCCAGCCAUACCGCGUGUGUGAAGAAGGCCUUCGGGUUGUAAAGCCCUUUUGUUGGGAAAGAAAAGCAGCAGGUUAAUACCCCGCUGUUCUGACGGUACCCAAAGAAUAAGCACCGGCUAACUUCGUG